rnacentral:rRNA from 1 species
ACUCCUACGGGAGGCAGCAGUGAGGAAUAUUGCGCAAUGGGCGAAAGCCUGACGCAGCGACGCCGCGUGGGGGAUGAAGGCCUUCGGGUUGUAAACCCCUUUCGGGAGGGAAGAUGGGACGGGUAACCGUUCGGACGGUACCUCCAGAAGCAGCCACGGCUAACUCUGUGCCAGCAGCCGCGGUAAGACAGAGGUGGCAAGCGUUGUUCGGAUUUACUGGGCGUAAAGGGUGCGUAGGUGGUUAGGUAAGACCUGUGGGAAAGACCUGGGCUUAACCCAGGAAGGUCGCAGGUGACUGCUUGGCUAGAGGGCGGGAGAGGAGAGCGGAAUUCCCGGUGUAGCGGUGAAAUGCGUAGAGAUCGGGAGGAAGGCCGGUGGCGAAGGCGGCUCUCUGGAACGUUCCUGACACUGAGGCACGAAAGCGUGGGGAGCAAACAGGAUUAGAUACCCUGGUAGUCCACGCCCUAAACGAUGGGUACUAAGUGUCGGCGGGUUACCGCCGGUGCCGCACCUAACGGAGUAAGUACCCCGCCUGGGGAGUACGGCCGCAAGGUUGAAACUCAAAUGAAUUGAC